rnacentral:rRNA from 1 species
GAGUUUGAUCAUGGCUCAGAACGAACGCUGGCGGCGUGUUUAACACAUGCAAGUCGAGCGAGAAAGUUGGUCUUCGGACCGACGAGUAAAGCGGCAGACGGGUGAGUAACACGUGGAUAACCUGCCCUCAGGCGGGGAAUAACUACUCGAAAGGGUAGCUAAUACCGCAUAUGGCCACAUUGCUUUGGCGAUGUGGUCAAAGACUUCGGUCACCUGAGGAGGGGUCCGCGGCCGAUUAGCUAGUUGGUGGGGUAAAGGCUUACCAAGGCGACGAUCGGUAGCUGGUCUGAGAGGAUGAUCAGCCACACUGGUACUGAGACACGGACCAGACUCCUACGGGAGGCAGCAGUGGGGAAUAUUGCGCAAUGGACGAAAGUCUGACGCAGCAACGCCGCGUGGGUGAAGAAGGUCUUCGGGUCGUAAAGCCCUGUCAGGUGGGAAGAAACCUGCAUAGCAGCUGACGGUACCACCAAAGGAAGCACCGGCUAACUCCGUGCCAGCAGCCGCGGUAAUACGGAGGGUGCAAGCGUUGUUCGGAAUCACUGGGCGUAAAGGGCACGUAGGCGGCCUGGCAAGUCUGAUGUGAAAGCCCGGGGCU